rnacentral:rRNA from 1 species
GACGAACGCUGGCGGCGCGCUUAACACAUGCAAGUCGAACGGAGCUGAGAGAAGCUUGCUUUUCUUAGCUUAGUGGCGAACGGGUGAGUAACGCGUGAGUAACCUGCCCUGGAGUGGGGGACAACAGUUGGAAACGACUGCUAAUACCGCAUAAGCCCACGAUCCGGCAUCGGAUUGAGGGAAAAGGAUUUAUUCGCUUCAGGAUGGACUCGCGUCCAAUUAGCUAGUUGGUGAGGUAACGGCCCACCAAGGCGACGAUUGGUAGCCGGACUGAGAGGUUGAGCGGACACAUUGGGACUGAGACACGACCCAGACUCCUACGGGAGGCAGCAGUGGGGGAUAUUGCACAAUGGGGGAAACCCUGAUGCAGCGACGCCGCGUGGAGGAAGAAGGUUUUCGGAUUGUAAACUCCUGUCGUUAGGGACGAUAAUGACGGUACCUAACAAGAAAGCACCGGCUAACUACGUG